rnacentral:rRNA from 1 species
AAUAUUGCACAAUGGAGGGAACUCUGAUGCAGCAACGCCGCGUGAGUGAAGAAGGUUUUCGGUUCGUAACACUCUGUCAUCGGGGAAGAAUAAAUGACGGUACUCAAUGAGGUAGCACUGGCUAACUACGUUCCAGUAGCAGCGGUAAUACGUAGGGGGUCAGCGUUGUCCGGAAUUAUUGGGCGUAAAGGGCUCGCAGUCGGUCUUCUAAGUCUGAUGUGAAAUCUCGUAGCUUAACUACGAACGGUCAGUGGAAACUGGAGGACAUGAGUACAGAAGAGGAAAGCGGAAUUCCACGUGUAGCGGUGAAAUGCGUAGAGAUGUGGAGGAAAACCAGUGGCGAAGGCGGCUUUCUGGUCUGUAACUGACGCUGAGGCGCGAAAGCGUGGGGAGCAAACA